CUAAGAAACUAACAAGGAUUCCCCUAGUAACGGCGAGUGAAGCGGGAAGAGCUCAAAUUUGAAAUCUGGUAGCCUUCGGUUGCCCGAGUUGUAAUCUAGAGAAGUGUUUUCCGCGUUGGCCCAUGUACAAGUCCCUUGGAACAGGGCGUCAUAGAGGGUGAGAAUCCCGUCCUUGACAUGGACCCCCAAUGCUUUGUGAUACACUUUCAACGAGUCGAGUUGUUUGGGAAUGCAGCUCAAAAUGGGUGGUGAAUUCCAUCUAAAGCUAAAUAUUGGCGAGAGACCGAUAGCGAACAAGUACCGUGAGGGAAAGAUGAAAAGCACUUUGGAAAGAGAGUUAAACAGUACGUGAAAUUGUUGAAAGGGAAACGAUUGAAGUCAGUCAUGCUCUUUGGAUUAAGCCGUUCUGCGGUGUAUUUCAUUGAGCGGGGUCAACAUCAGUUUUGAUCGCUGGAAAAGGGCAGGAGGAAGGUAGCACUCUCGGGUGAACUUAUAGCCUCUUGUCGUAUACAGUGAUUGGGACUGAGGAACGCAGCAUGCCUUUUGGCCGGGAUUCGUCCACGUACAUGCUUAGGAUGUGACC
rnacentral:rRNA from 1 species